rnacentral:snRNA from 1 species
UGAGCGGGGUAAAGCCAGAGG